AGCAGCCGCGGUAAUUCCAGCUCCAAUAGCGUAUAUUAAAGUUGUUGCAGUUAAAAAGCUCGUAGUUGAAUUUCGGGAUCAGUACGCCGGUCGUGCCUUCGGUAUGCACUGGUGUCACUGGUUUCUCCCUUCUGAAGAACCAUCAUGCCAUUCAGUUGGUGUGGCGGGGAAUCAGGACUGUUACUUUGAAAAAAUUAGAGUGUUUAAAGCAGGCUCGCGCUUGAAUACAUUAGCAUGGAAUAAUGAAAUAGGACGUUUGACCCUAUUUUGUUGGUUUCUAGGAUCGACGUAAUGAUUAAUAGGGAUAGUUGGGGGCAUUAGUAUUCAAUUGUCAGAGGUGAAAUUCUUGGAUUUAUUGAAGACUAACUACUGCGAAAGCAUUUGCCAAGGAUGUUUUCAUUAAUCAAGAACGAAAGUUAGGGGAUCGAAGACGAUCAGAUACCGUCGUAGUCUUAACCAUAAACUAUGCCGACUAGGGAUCGGAUGAUGUAAUUUUUUAAUGA
rnacentral:rRNA from 1 species